rnacentral:rRNA from 1 species
AGCAGCCGCGGUAAUUCCAGCUCCAAUAGCGUAUAUUAAAGUUGUUGCAGUUAAAAAGCUCGUAGUUGAAUUUUGGAUUCUGCCAAUUGGUCCAUCUUUUAGAUGAGUACUGGUUGUGUGGGGUCUAUCCGCCUGGUGAUACGUAAUGUCCUUUAUUGGAUGUUGCGGGUAGUCAGGACCUUUACCUUGAAAAAUUAGAGUGUUUAAAGCAGGCUUAUGCCGGAAUACAUUAGCAUGGAAUAAUAGAAUAGGACGAAGUUGUUUUAUUUUGUUGGUUUCUAGGACAACCGUAAUGAUUAAUAGGGAUAGUUGGGGGCAUUAGUAUUCAAUUGUCAGAGGUGAAAUUCUUGGAUUUAUUGAAGACUAACUACUGCGAAAGCAUUUGCCAAGGAUGUUUUCAUUAAUCAAGAACGAAAGUUAGGGGAUCGAAGACGAUCAGAUACCGUCGUAGUCUUAACCAUAAACUAUGCCGACU